rnacentral:tRNA from 1 species
GGUCUCGUAGCUUAACUGGUAGAGCGUACGCAUACCAAGCGUAGGCGUCGUCCAUGCGUGGGUUUGAAUCCCACCGAGGUUA